GACGAACGCUGGCGGCGUGCUUAACACAUGCAAGUCGAACGGAGUAAAGAGCUUUCGGUUUUUUGCUUAGUGGCGAACGGGUGAGUAACGCGUGAGGAACCUGCCUUUCAGUGGGGGACAACAGUUGGAAACGACUGCUAAUACCGCAUGAUACUAUUGAGUGGCAUCACUUGAUAGUCAAAGAUUUAUUGCUGAAAGAUGGCCUCGCGUCUGAUUAGCUAGUUGGUGGGGUAACGGCCCACCAAGGCGACGAUCAGUAGCCGGACUGAGAGGUUGACCGGCCACAUUGGGACUGAGAUACGGCCCAGACUCCUACGGGAGGCAGCAGUGGGGAAUAUUGGGCAAUGGGCGAAAGCCUGACCCAGCAACGCCGCGUGAAGGAAGAAGGCCUUCGGGUUGGUAAACUUCUUUUACCUAGGGACGAACACAAUGACGGUACCUGGAGAAAAGCAACGGCUAACUACGUG
rnacentral:rRNA from 1 species